rnacentral:lncRNA from 1 species
GUUAGUGACAGGGGAGCUGCUCUACCUCUGGGGCUACAGCAGUGCAGUGAGCUUUAGUGGAUCAAUACUUUAGUCUUGUCAUGCUAAUUGCUCAUUGGUUGACAUUCAUGAUCCUUCCUUGCUCCCUCCCUAUGUAAACUCUUUACAGCUGGAACAGCGAGAUGCAAAAAUCCUGAGCCUUCAAAGCCAGCUCCUGCAGAAGAGAGAGGGCCUGGCAGCUGAGCUGGAUGCUUCAGGAGCAGAGGAUCUAUCAACUGCAGACCAAGCAUAGGGAGACGCAGGCUGACUUGGAACAGAAACCCACCAGCUCCAGCCACUCCGACAGUACUUGGUAGCCAGACAGUCGGCAGCAGGAAACAUGCCACGGGCCACGAGGCAGGAAAUGACCCAAUCCUUGAGGUCUGGUUUUACACUUGUUCAACUAACCAGAUUACUGCUAGUGACUGACAUCAGUAAGGACACGUUUUCUGUAUUGGGGAAACUGUGUACCUCUUCAUCAGACAAGUAAAUGAGGAGUAAGAUGCCUGCUUCUUGCUAGCAUUUCAUUGUGCCUAAGCAGUGUGCUUGUGGAAACAGUAAGCUCAUUCCUGCACAGUAGGAGGGGACAAUGGACCUCUUUCUCUGGUAAGUAAUUCUUUGUAUUUCUAUAAUGCCUUAUAGUUUCAGGAAGACAUAUCUUCCCACCUCCCUCUCUUCCUUCCUUCCUUCUAUAUUCAUUGAGUAAAUAAGAUGAUCCAGGUUCUGUGCUGGGCACUGAAAAUACAAAGAUAAAUGAAACAUAGCCUCUGUCCUCAAAGAGGCCUCUGGCUAAGAAGGGGAUUUGGAAGAAGAAUAACGAAUUAAUUAUAAUCCUGCGACAUGAGUGCUCUAACCAUAUGUACUACAGAAAGUGCUAAGAACUCAGGAAGCCCUACAGAGAAAGCAACUUUGGGGCCAGAUCUUGAACAGAUGAACAGAUGUUUGCAACUGGAGAAGGGGGCGUGAUGAGAGGGCAUCAGUGAAGUGAUUGCCUCCAGCAGAAGGGACAGCAGCUAUGAAGACAUCAAGGUUGGAUGGACUAUGUGUCAGGUGAGGUGAGGUCAGAAAGGAUCAUAUGUGCCUUUGAGAAAUAAUAGAAUAUAUAUGUAUUAGUCUCUGCCCCCAGUUCCUGGCACAGAGCUCCUGAAUCCUUUGGAAUUUCCUAGGUAAUAGGAGUGACUUUUGUUCUAAGUAAGUGGCUCUUGGUGAGCUCUUGGGUAGCUUCAGGAUGGGGUUAGUGACCAGAAAGACUAAGCCAUGAAUAGACGCUUGGAACUUUCAGUCCCAGCCCCAAUCCUCCAGGAAGAAGAGGGGGUUAGAGGUUAAUUAUUGAUCCUGCAUUAUGUGAGGAAACUCCAUAAAAAUCCCAAAAGUGUGGCGUUCAAAGAGCUUCAGUUAACAUAUCUUUGUGCUGGGAGGGUGGCCGAUCCCAACUCCAUGUGCUCAGGGUCCCUUUCAGACCUCGCCCUAUGUCUCUCUUCAUCUAGCUG